rnacentral:pre_miRNA from 1 species
AGGAGGAACAGCCCCAGUGGCGGCGCAGGUCUGCGGCCCUGGAGUCAGCCCCCGCAGUAGCUCCGGAGCUCUCCGUCUGCAGGGCCUGGAGGCUCCGGGCGGGG